rfam:Gossypium arboreum cultivar AKA8401 contig_49041_1, whole genome shotgun sequence.
AACCUAUGGUGAGGGUACCUUCUCAAAAGAUCAUUGUAUCUCUCUCAUGCAUCAUAGAUUGUUUUUAGAUCCAUCUGCAUAAAAGAAGAGAUGACAUUCCUCAACUU